AAGAACAGGAAGUGGCGUUUCCUACCGAAAAUGCAUAAGUUUCCAAAGAUCAUGAUUAAGCUGUUCAAGACAAAAGGGGAACCGAAGAGACACCCUGAACAGGAUGCGCUGCCUACCAAACAUCUCAGAGAGACUCAUAUUUCACAGGAUGCUGAGUGUGAGGUUCCAGAGGUUCCAUCCACUUCCCCACCCAAGGAGGAC